CUUUUCUUCAUCUACUUGCUCGAA
rnacentral:siRNA from 1 species